rnacentral:tRNA from 2 species
GCGGUAGUGGUGAAGUGGUUAACACACCGGUUUGUGGUACCGGCACGCGUGGGUUCGAUCCCCAUCUACCGCCCUA